rnacentral:rRNA from 1 species
UACGUAGGUGGCAAGCGUUAUCCGGAUUUACUGGGUGUAAAGGGCGCGUAGGCGGGGGUGCAAGUCAGAUGUGAAAUCUAUGGGCCUAACUCAUAAACUGCAUUUGGAACUGUAUCUCUUGAGUGCUGGAGAGGUAGAUGGAAUUCCUUGUGUAGCGGUGAAAUGCGUAGAUAUAAGGAAGAACACCAGUGGCGAAGGCGAUCUACUGGAAAGUAACUGACGCUAGGGCGCGAGAGCGUGGGGAGCAAAC